AUCUGACUUUCUCUCUGACUUUGUCACCAGUUCAACUGUUUGGCUUACAAGCUGGUUAUCACAUGGUGUGUAUUGGGCCUGACUCAUGUGUGCACACAUUACCAAAGCUCAUCAUUCUCCAUCAUUCAAAAAUAAAUGAGAGAAUCUCAAUUUCUGCAACGUUGAUAAAUGGUUUCAGGAACUCUGCUUUCCAGUUACUGUGAUUCAGUUGGAGAAAACAAAGUCCGGAGAAAUUGCGUAGAUGUGUUACUAAAAUGAACAGUUCAGGGGGAGAAAAUAUGUGCAUGCACUUGAAAAUGGUUUUGUAUCCAAAAUAG